rnacentral:rRNA from 1 species
AUUGAACGCUGGCGGCAGGCCUAACACAUGCAAGUCGAGCGAGCGGCGGACGGGUGAGUAAUGCCUAGGAAUCUGCCUGGUAGUGGGGGAUAACUACUGGAAACGGUAGCUAAUACCGCAUACCAUCAGAUGUGCCCAGAUGGGAUUAGCUUGUUGGUGGGGUAACGGCUCACCAAGGCGACGAUCCCUAGCUGGUCUGAGAGGAUGACCAGCCACACUGGAACUGGGACACGGCCCAGACUCAUACGGGAGGAAGCAGUGGGGAAUAUUGCACAAGGGGCGCAAGCCGGAUGCAGCAAUGCGGCGUGUAUGAAGAAGGCCUUCGGGUUGUAAAGUACUUUCAGCGGGGAGGCGUUACCCGCAGAAGAAGCACCGGCUAACUCCGUGCCAGCCGCCGCGGUAAUUC